rnacentral:rRNA from 1 species
GCCCGCUCAGAAACUCAAAGGAAUUGACGGGGCCCGCACAAGCGGUGGAGCAUGUGGUUUAAUUCGAUGAUACGCGAGGAACCUUACCUGGGCUCAAAUGUAUGUUGACGUAUUCUGAAAGGGAUACUUCUUCGGACAAUAUACAAGGUGCUGCAUGGUUGUCGUCAGCUCGUGCCGUGAGGUGUCGGGUUAAGUCCCAUAACGAGCGCAACCCCUAUCAUUAGUUGCCAUCAGGUCAAGCUGGGGACUCUAAUGAAACUGCCUACGCAAGUAGUGAGGAAGGCGGGGAUGACGUCAAAUCAGCACGGCCCUUACGUCCAGGGCUACACACGUGCUACAAUGGCCGAUACAGAGGGCAGCUACCUGGUGACAGGAUGCAAAUCUCCAAAGUCGGUCUCAGUUCGGAUCGGAGUCUGCAACCCGACUCCGUGAAGUUGGAUUCGCUAGUAAUCGCGCAUCAGCCAUGGCGCGGUGAAUACGUUCCCGGGCCUU